CUUCGAUCAAUACACUGAAAUAAUGUCAUGGCCUGGCCCGGCCCAUGCGACAAUCAGCCAAAGCCCAAAACAAAAUAAAAAAAAAAAGAAGGAAGGAAAACAGAGGAGAAGAACUCCCAAAGGGAGUCUUCUUCCUCCUCUCGCCGGCUCCUAAUUGGAGUCGGAGACGAGCUCCCUCCGGCCUUAUUUAAAGAGGAGAUCCCACCUCUCUCCUUUCCACCGAAAAUUUUAAGCUCAAUCAGCGGCAAUCGUCGGAAAAUUCACUGCGGA
rnacentral:lncRNA from 1 species